UCACAAUGCGGAACAAUGUUUUGCAAUUGGAUUGAGAACAACGUACAAACCUUAUCGAUAAACAAUUGGAGGGCAAGUCUGGUGCCAGCAGCCGCGGUAAUUCCAGCUCCAAUAGCGUAUAUUAACGUUGUUGCAGUUAAAAAGCUCGUAGUUGAAAUGAAGGGUAGUUGUGUAAUGAAUACAUUCGUGUAUUUUGUUAUUCUACUACCCUCCUUCUAAAUUCGAUAUAUGAGUAUUAAUUUACUUGUAUAUGGUUUUAGACUUUUACUGUGAGAAAAUUAGAGUGUUCAAAGCAGGCAUUUGCUUGAAUAUAUUAGCAUGGAAUAAUCAUGUAUGAUUUUCAUGAUGUAUUUGAUUGGUUUGGUUCAUGAGAAUAAGAUUAAAAGGGACAGUUGGGGGUAUUCAUAUUCAAUAGUCAGAGGUGAAAUUCUCGGAUUU
rnacentral:rRNA from 1 species